rnacentral:lncRNA from 1 species
CUCUUGCAUCUGAAAGCGCAGAAAAAUCUGAAAACUAGGUCCAAAACUUAAAAAUAGCAAACCUUCAAAGAAAAUUGAAUUCCUCAUUGUGAUAAAUCUACUGUGCCAAAUGCAGGGACUUGAUUGGAAAAGUGUGAGACUCUGACAUUUAGGAUGGAGGAUCUGGACCACCGUACUCUAUAAUUUUGAAACCUUGGAUACCACUGAACUCUGAGCGUCCCUGUUAAAUAUUGAUGAUUCCUGUUGCCCAGAGAUAAUGUGAGGGCUUUUACUUGGUAGGUCAAUAUAGUACGUGUCCCUGUGGGGACAUACCUUUUCUAUCCUCACGUACAAGACCCAUAAUUAUGAUCAGAGUUUAGCAUAAUUCAUUUGGGAAUCACUGCACCUGCUAGAGGAGUAAAGGAACUGUAUGCUAAGGGUGGAACACUAUCUAGACAAAAUGAUCCAGGAUAUCUAAAUAUGCCUUAUUAAUUGAAAAAGCUCCUUUAUACCUUAUGUUUUGUUUGCUUAAUCAGUAAAUCUUUUACUAUUGUCUUUUUUAAUACAUCUACAACACAUUAUUCUUUAAGUGUAUUUUGAGGCAACAUUAUCUAGCAUAUAAAUUUUUAUUGCACAUAUAUAACUUUCUCUUUAAAUCAGCAGCUUGGAGAGAUUGUGCCUGAUUAACACAGGUCUUCCUUAGUCAGAACUGGAAAGAGGGGUAACAGUAUUAUUCUAGCACAGGCCCAAGUACAGGCUGCUAUCUGAUCCAGAAAUUAUCUGCAGCAAUUUUUAUAACUGAAGAAUUGAAAAUGAGAAGGAACCAGAAUCCAGCCACCAGUGCAAGACAUGCUUUUGUAGUAUCUGGAUUCUUGAACAACUAUGAAG